AUGAUACGGGUCCGGUGCAAGCCCUUCCUCGUUCCCCUCGGCGAGGAGGAGACGGCGGCGCCAGAGACAACAUUCAGAGUGGAGGAGGCGGCGGCGCGGGAGACAACAUUCAGAGUGGUCUUGAUGGCACACUGCAAAACUAGUCUGUCUGCCUUCGUCUUCUCUUCGAGCACCGGACAAUGGCAAGCCGCUGCAUCAAAUGGUUGGAGUGAUUUGGUCAGUAGCACAGGCGACCGGGCCGCCAUGUCACAGGUCAACCCUUUUUUUCUCAGGCGCCAUUAUGCUUAUGGCUGCUUUUACUGGGACUGGCUGACGAUCAACAGCAAAAAGUUACUCGCGCUUGACAUCAGGACGAUGGAGUUCUCCAUUGCUGAGCUCCCACCUGGAGAGUGGAGCAAGAAUGGAAUAGCCAUUGUGGAGGCAGGGGAAGGCAGGCUUGGGAUGUUUGGUUUCCAUGGUGAAAUUGCAUCUAGCCUCAGCUAUACCAUUGCGCAAAACAAAGGCAAGAGUCCCAGCCAGUGGCAGGUGGAGAAGAUAGUCUCACAAGAUUCUGGGUACGCAUAUAGUAUCAGAGCUGCAACAGAGAGAAAAACUCUAAGCAAGCUCGGGAACAUAAUUGCGUUUAUUGUCUUGUUUGUUUCAAAUGCAAUUUGA
rnacentral:rRNA from 1 species